rnacentral:rRNA from 1 species
UGAGGAAUCUUCCACAAUGGGCGAAAGCCUGAUGGAGCGACACCGCGUGAAGGAUGAAGCCUUUGUUGGUGUAAACUUCUUUUCUCUGGGAAGAUAAUGACGGUACCAGAGGAAUAAGGGGCGGCAAACUUCGUGCCAGCAGCCGCGGUAAUACGAAGGCCCCAAGCGUUAUCCGGAAUUACUGGGCGUAAAGCGUCUGUAGGUGGUCUGGAAAGUCUCAAGUCAAAGGUCAGGGCUCAACCCUGUACUU